rnacentral:misc_RNA from 1 species
UUUUUUUUUUUUUUUGGUCCAAGUAUUAUCAACUUAACAAACAAGGUACAGGUGCAGCAAUUCUGAAGAGAUUAGAAAUGAUUUGAUGAUGAAAAAUUGUUUAAAAUGCGAUAUGGGUCAGUAGUUGACCCAUCUUACAUUUUAUUUGUGAAUUUAACAGAGCGUUUGUAAGCUUAUAUAUUGUUUUUCUGGGUUGAGAAUUGUUACUAGGUAAUUUUCACUGUAG